CAAACAGGAAGCAGCCUCUGAACAAUUCUUCUUUCCAGGCUUCUUUUGUUUGGCUAACAAUUCUAGAAUCAACCAGGCAAACGGAGUUGGAAAUGCUCAAGUCAACAGCCAGAAGAUGAGAGGGCUGUGUAACAUGAAGCAGAAAUGUUGAUGGCAAGAAACAUAUCUGGGAAGUCUAGGCACUUACUACAUCCAGGACAGCUCCAGAGAAGCAACCUUGAGAUGCUACAGUUCUUGUCACUGAUGCUUCUACAGCACCUGUUCCUUCUGACUUAUCCUCAGAUGGCUCCACAGACCCUGGACAUCAAGGAAAAGACAACUCUCCUAAAACUGAACAAACACCCCCUAUAUCCAUCCUUCCAGGUUCCCCAGAGACAUGUUACCCCAAUGCCAGCAUGAAGCAUCCAGAUAUCACAACAACCCUAUUCCUGCUUUGCCUCUUUCCAAUUUUUCUUUUUUAAUUAACUCAAAACUGGGGAAUAUUGGUAUUCUGUCUGGACCCCACCCCCACAGUUACCUGGUAACAGCCAGGUAUACCUGGGCCCACUACAAAAGGGGCUGCUUGCCCCCUUCUUUCUUGCCUCUCUCUCUUGCCUCUUGCCCCAUUCUCUUCUCCACUCUCUCCAUGUGAUCAUGGCCAGCCUUCUCUUCUCUUCUCUUCUCUUCUCUUCUCUUCUCUUCUCUUCUCUUCUCUUCUCUCUCUCUCUCUCCCUCUCCCUCUCUCUCUCUCUCUGCCUUUCUCUGCCUCUCCUACCCUCUUAACUCCCCUCCCCAUCCCUGAAUGAACUCUAUCUAUACUACACCAUCAUGUGGCUGGUCCCUCAAGGGGAAGGGAUGCCUUGGCAUAGUCCUGCCAAGGCACCUCCUUCCUCCAUACCUCACUCUCACACAUAGACAUACAAAUAUACUGACAUAUCUUCUUUGUGGUCGUCUCAAUGUUAAGAUCUCAGCUCUUGAUUUAUUCUAGAACAGGGAACACUCUCAACACCAGUCAUGAAUGACUUUUUAAAGUGUCUAUUCAGAGAAACCAUGUAAUGAAGUCCAGAGAUCUCAGCAACACCACAAUUCUGUUUUCUUUAGGGUAGUUAAUGUAGUUGAUGGUAGAUCAGUAUGUCAAAAAAGGACACAAACUUCUACAAUCACAGGAGGCCUUAAAAAACUAGGUUUUUAUGUUUCUUAAGUCAAAGUCAAACCAGUCUAUUCACAAUUUUCUGGAAGAUUCUUUUACCAUUUAUUUUUUUGAGAUUCCAUGAAGAGAUGAAUAUCUAUAAAUAAAGCAAUAGUGGUGAGAGAUCAACAGACAUACACACAUAAUAUGGGGCUUCUUUAUUCUCAUUGUGUAGCCAACCCCUUUCUUAAACAUAUUUUUGUAAUUGGUCUAUCAGUCUAGGUUAGCUUUUGCCUAUCUCAACAAAAUAGUUGGCUUUUAGGAUAAUUUAGCAUCAACUUCACAAUUUGCUUUCACAGAUAUUAUCAAUCACUCACAAUAGCCUCCAAUAUAUUUUGGUUCAUAGUGCUUUAACUUCCAAUGAUAAUGCCCAAUGCUCCCAGGGUUGUGAUGCCCUCAGUGUGAUUUUGUGCUAUUAUAGAAGAUGUUAAUUACAAAAUCUUCAUGGCCUUUUCCCUAGUUAUCAUUAUCUCAUCAUCACUUUUGCUAAAAGAAUAUGACUUUUCUGCACUGAUUUUACUCAAGUAUCCAGGUUACAAAUGCAAUACUGGAACAUAUAAUCAAUGUUUCUAAAAUGAGGAUUGUGGCAUCAGAAGAGAUUGAAAAGUGGGAGAUAGAAAAGUACAGAUUUUCCUCAUCAAGCAAACUUUGGUUGUCUUUUUUGUUUGUUUGUUUUAAAUGACCCUUUUAAUAAGGUGGUACACACCUGUCUCCCAUAACUAGGAAGGUAGGAAGAAGGGAGAGUUCGAGACCAUCUUUGGCUAUAUUUACAUAGUGAGAUGGUUUGAUUCAGAAAUCCUCCAUAAAGUCUCAGACAUUUAAAUACUUGGUCCUAAGUGGGUGGCUAUUUGUGGAGGAUUAGGAGGUGUGGUUCUGCUGGAAGAAAUGUGUCAUUGGACAGGAGAUGACAGGAGAGGAGAGGGAGGUAGAGGAGUGACCAUGAAGUGAUACACAAAGAGUACCCAAUAAUAAAAGAGAUGAGGGUGAAAUGGGUGUAAAUGGAGGUAACUAAUGAAACAGUCACUGUAGAAAAUCAAAUCAGUAGUCCAUUAGCAGUAGGAGGAGUACAUACAGCAGAAAAGGGGUGGACAGAGCCCAAGCCAGCACUCUCCAUCACCCAGAAGACAUUAUGAGCCACCUGCUAGACUCUGCCCAGGGCAGUGUCUUUCCAUGUAAGAUUUAGGUUCAUCUUUGCAGUUCAUUGAACAUUCAAGGACAGUGUUAAAAGAACCUUCAUAACCAGCAUCUGAUUCUAGAUGUGUUUGUCUAUUUGAUUAAAUUAUUGGACAACCAAUUGGGCAACAGUAAUUCAAUGGAGUAAGGAUAUUCAGAGGCAAAUCUGCUGUGGAGCUUGUCUAUAAAAUGUUUAACCAUGUACAAAUGUUCAGUGAGUUAUAUACUGUUAUAACUAUGUGUCACAAAACGCAAGUGUUACUAAAUUAGUUCCAAGUGUAAUAGCGUCAUCAAGGUUGUACCCUCUUAAAAAAGGUUAAUACUGCCGGGCAUGGUGCUGCAUGCCUUUAAUCCCGGCACUUGGGAGGCAGAGGCAGGUAGAUUUCUGAGUUCGAGGCCAGCCUGGUCUACAAAGUGAGUUUCAGGACAACCAGGGCUACAGAGAAACCUUGUCUCGAAAAACCAAAAAAAAAAAAAAAAAAAAGGUUAAGACUGUUAUUGUGGGGGUAUGUCCUUAUAUAUGUUC
rnacentral:lncRNA from 1 species